rnacentral:rRNA from 1 species
UACAGAGGGGGCAAGCGUUAUUCGGAAUUAUUGGGCGUAAAGAGCUCGUAGGCGGUCUGUUGCGUCGGCUGUGAAAACCCGGGGCUCAACCCCGGGCCUGCAGCCGAUACGGGCAGACUAGAGUUCGGCAGGGGAGACUGGAAUUCCUGGUGUAGCGGUGAAAUGCGCAGAUAUCAGGAGGAACACCGGUGGCGAAGGCGGGUCUCUGGGCCGAAACUGACGCUGAGGAGCGAAAGCGUGGGGAGCAAACAGG